GACGAACGCUGGCGGCGUGCUUAACACAUGCAAGUCGAACGAAGAGCGAUGGAAGCUUGCUUCUAUCAAUCUUAGUGGCGCACGGGUGAGUAACGCGUAAUCAACCCGCCCUUCAGAGGGGGACAACAGUUGGAAACGACUGCUAAUACCGCAUACGAUCUAAUCUCGGCAUCGAGGAUAGAUGAAAGGUGGCCUCUACAUGUAAGCUAUCACUGAAGGAGGGGAUUGCGUCUGAUUAGCUAGUUGGAGGGGUAACGGCCCACCAAGGCGAUGAUCAGUAGCCGGUCUGAGAGGAUGAACGGCCACAUUGGGACUGAGACACGGCCCAGACUCCUACGGGAGGCAGCAGUGGGGAAUCUUCCGCAAUGGACGAAAGUCUGACGGAGCAACGCCGCGUGAGUGAUGACGGCCUUCGGGUUGUAAAGCUCUGUUAAUCGGGACGAAAGGCCUUCUUGCGAAUAGUGAGAAGGAUUGACGGUACCGGAAUAGAAAGCCACGGCUAACUACGUG
rnacentral:rRNA from 1 species